GUUUUAUGUUCAUUAAUACAUGCGUUUAUUUUAUUUAUUUUUUGUAAUGAAAGAAGCAUGUUAACACUGCAACAUCAGCUGUCAGCGCUGAUAGAAUAAUAAUAAUGUAAAUUUUUGAUUCCUGCUUCAGUCAUAUACCGGUAGCCUCAUAGGUCAUUAUAGCCACAAUUACAUAUGAAUAUAAAUAUAUUUUGUCAUGAUUUUAUUUUCAAUAUGAUUAUAAUGUAUCACAAUGUAUCUAGUUAUGAAAAAUCAGCAAACAGAAUUAAAGUUGGUUCCUACCAAGC
rnacentral:misc_RNA from 1 species